UAGGGAAUCUUCGGCAAUGGGGGCAACCCUGACCAAGCAACGCCACGUGAGUGAAGAAGGUUUUCGGAUCGUAAAGCUCUGUUGUAAGAGAAGAACGUGUGUGAGAGUGGAAAGUUCACACAGUGACGGUAACUUACCAGAAAGGGACGGCUAACUACGUGCUAG
rnacentral:rRNA from 1 species